AUGUGUCCCUAUUGCUUCAGGCUCCACCCUUGCUGGGAUCCUGCCUGCUUAGAGGGACCCUAUUGCCUGCAGCUAGGACUGCUGCUAGAAAUCCCUGUAGAUCGUCAAGCACCGUGUCAAAUACUCCACAUCUACCCAGAACCCAGAUCCUGACUCCUGUGCAGUCUGCAAAGCCAGAAAUCAAAUCCACUGGGCAGCAACAAUAGAUGUUGCUCAGCUAGAAGACUAGACUCACUAUCAAGAAAGAAAUGAAAAAUUAUUGAAAUUAAAAGCAUUUAUCUAAGAAGCCCAUUGGAUGCUAUACCCCAGGCUAUCUGGCACCACAGUCAGUUUCCAUCACAACAGCAUCCACACAAGUUGUAAUCAGGACCAAGUGGUCACACUGGUGGCUUCUUUCCACACCUCCCAGGCUGCAGCAAAAUAAUAAGAGCAUCUCUUACAUUUCAUAUUGUCUGCAACUUUAGAAACUUCAGCAGAAAACAAAAUGGUAUUAAAGAGGCUCUACCAGUGAAACAAAGCUGAUUUUUGGCCUAAAGGGGAUAUGAAUACAGAUUUAAAUGGUCAUUUUGGUGUGUGCUUAACUCAAGUUACAUCCAUCCACAAUCAUCCACACUCUUUCCAUGCUGGUGCUUAUCUGGGCCCAUUUUCUGGCAUUUCUGGUGUUUUUCUAGCUCACCUUUCUGCACUUGAGAGCUGGCAGCACAGAGAGCACAGGGGUGACCUGAAAAAAGAGGGAGGAGUGCAGUUAUCCAAGCCCAGAGAGAAGGAUACAGAAACAACACUUGGCAGGAAUACAGAAGUCUCAGUAAAGAAAUAGAAGGCAUAAUGAGACCAGCAGACCUACAGUGUAGGGCCAAAGCUCUUGGAACCCAGGAUUUAUGAUGCCCCAUCAGUUAUGAGAGGGGUGGACUUUUUUCCUUAUUUCUUUUUUCCUAAAUAGAUGGUAUAUUAUGACAAGACUCCCUUGGCAGUGGAUUUGCAUGAAUAAUGUGCCUGUACUCUACCCAAGUAAAUCAUAUUUUGUUCUCAAACAUUCCCAAAUGGUGUUUGUGCAAUUCUGAAGUCUUAAAAUCCUACCUGCCUGGCAAAAGUUUGACUGCAAUGAUCAAAAGGAAGUGAAGCAUCCUGUAGGACAGGAAACCCUCUUGAGGACUCCAAGAAUGUGGAGAUCCCAGGGCUGCCCAGAAGAAACUUCACCCACUGUGUUUCUGAAGCUACUUCUUGGUUGGCAGCAGCUGUUGGAUACCAUGUGACACCAUGACAGACCAAAUUGCUUCAGGAAAUAGAAAACUGUCAAGCAGAUGCUGCUAGGACAUUCAUGGUGGGAGGAAGUACCAGGAUUUUUUAUUUAGGUACACCAUUUUCAAUAGUGACACUCUAUAAAAGGCAUUUUUAAAGAGCUGCUCUGUCGUUGCCUCUACAGAGCAUCAGAAAACAUCUUCAGAGGCGUAGGGCUGCAAGAUACCACGUGAGAAUAUUGGAUCAACACCUGAGCAGGGUUCUCUUUGUCGUCUUCUGUCCAAAUUCUGACAAGUGGAGCUCGAAAAGAAUGAACAAGCAGGAGCACAGAAAAGUGGAAUAAAUAAGUAAAGUAUUAUUUUGAGUCAGUGAGAGAAUAACUAAAAGAAACAUGCUGAGCUAUUUAUUUCUAAAAACUUAGUCAGAGAAAGCAGUUACCAGGCAGCAAACAACUCAUAAGCUGAGUAUCUCUAGAAAGGGAAGUGCUAUUAAAGUGGUUUGUAACUGAUUAAA